rnacentral:rRNA from 1 species
AUUGAACGCUGGCGGCAUGCCUUACACAUGCAAGUCGAACGGCAGCACGGGAGCUUGCUCCUGGUGGCGAGUGGCGAACGGGUGAGUAAUGCAUCGGAACGUGCCCUGAAGUGGGGGAUAACGUAGCGAAAGUUACGCUAAUACCGCAUAUUCUGUGAGCAGGAAAGCAGGGGAUCUUCGGACCUUGCGCUUUUUGGAGCGGCCGAUGUCGGAUUAGCUAGUUGGUGGGGUAAAGGCCCACCAAGGCGACGAUCCGUAGCGGGUCUGAGAGGAUGAUCCGCCACACUGGAACUGAGACACGGUCCAGACUCCUACGGGAGGCAGCAGUGGGGGAAUUUUGGGACAACGGGCGCAAGCCUGAUCCAGCCAUGCCGCGUGAGUGAAGAAGGCCUGUGUACG